rnacentral:rRNA from 1 species
GCUAUCGGGGUUCGACUAAGCCAUGCAAGUCGAGAGGGGUAAAGCCCUCGGCGAACUGCUCAGUAACACGUGGAUAACCUGACCUAGGGAGGGGGAUAACCCCGGGAAACUGGGGAUAAUACCCCAUAGGCUACGGAGGCUGGAAUGCCCUGUAACCAAAAAGCUCCGGCGCCCUAGGAUGGGUCUGCGGCCGAUUAGGUUGUUGUUGGGGUAACGGCCCAACAAGCCGAUCAUCGGUACGGGUUGUGGGAGCAAGAGCCCGGAGAUGGAUUCUGAGACAUGAAUCCAGGCCCUACGGGGCGCAGCAGGCGCGAAAACUUUACAAUGCGGGAAACCGUGAUAAGGGGACCCCGAGUGCCUGUACACGCAGGCUGUUCAGGUGUUUAAAACGCAUCUGGAGAAAGGGCCGGGCAAGACCGGUGCCAGCCGCCGCGGUAAUACCGGCGGCUCGAGUGGUGGCCACUAUUACUGGGCUUAAAGCGUCCGUAGCCGGGUUGUUAA